rnacentral:lncRNA from 1 species
GAGUGUUGGCCCAAGAGACCUAAAGCCCGCUGCUAUACGUGCGGGCGCGUGUGUCGUGGCCCGACAGCCUGGGUGGGCGCGCCGUGUGUGCGGGCGGCCCCGACGGACACGCCAUGUGUCGGCGGUCCGGUUCCAACAAUUGGUAUAUUGUUGGGAAUAGUCCCACAUUGUCUGGUGAGAGUGUGAAAGCAUGGUUUAUAAGGUUGAGGGUGCAACCCCUAUUAGGCUAGCUUUUUGGGGGGAGUGUUGGCCCAAGAGACCUAAAGCCCGCUGCUAUACGUGCGGGCGCGUGUAUCGCGGCCCGACAACCUGGGUGGGCGCGCCGUGUUUGCGGGCGACCCCGAUGGACACGCCAUGUGUCGGCGGUCCGGUUCCAACAAUUGGUAUCAGAGUCAGGUUGGCCCAGUGCAUUCUCAGACAAAUCUUGGCUCACAAUGUGUGAGGGGGAGAUUGUUGGGAAUAGUCCCAUAUUGUCUGGUGAGAGUGUGAAAGCAUGGUUUAUAAGGUUGAGGGUGCAACCCCUAUUAGGCUAGCU